rnacentral:rRNA from 1 species
UUACCUACGGGGGGCAGCAGUAGGGAAUUUUCGUCAAUGGGCGCAAGCCUGAACGAGCAAUGCCGCGUGAACGAGGAAGGUCUUCGGAUCGUAAAGUUCUGUUGAAGGGGAAAAAGAGCGGAGAGAGGAAAUGAACUCCGAUUGAUAUUACCCUUCGAGGAAGUCACGGCUAACUACGUGCCAGCAGCCGCGGUAAUACGUAGGUGGCGAGCGUUAUCCGGAAUGAUUGGGCGUAAAGGGUGCGUAGGCGGCCUGCUAAGUCAGCGGUAAAAUCGCGGGGCUCAACCUCGCUCCGCCGUUGAAAC